UCCGAGUUGGCACCGGCGGUCUCCCUAGAGUCCCCGGCUUUACCCGCUGGCAACUAGGAACAGGGGUUGCGCUCGUUGCGCCACUUAAGGCAACACCUCACGGCACGAGCUGACGACAACCAUGCACCACCUGUCUAGGACGCCGAAGCACACCACAUCUCUGUGGCUUUUCCCUAGAUGUCAAGCCCUGGUAAGGUUCUUCGCGUUGCGUCGAAUUAAGCCACAUGCUCCGCCGCUUGUGCGGGCCCCCGUCAAUUCCUUUGAGUUUUAGCCUUGCGGCCGUAGUCCCCAGGCGGGGUGCUUAAUGCGUUAGCUGCGGCACGGAGGGAGUGGAUAACCCCCCACACCUAGCACCCAUCGUUUACGGCGUGGACUAC
rnacentral:misc_RNA from 1 species